CAUAUGGAGGUUCCCAGGCUAGGGGUCGAAUCGGAGCUGUAGCCACCAGCCUACGCCACUGCCACAGCAGUGCGAGAUUCAAGCCACAUCUGUGACCGACACCACAGCUCACAGCAAUGCCAGAUCCUUAACCCACUGAGCAAGGCCAGGGUUUGAACCUGUGUCCUCAUGGAUGCUAGUCAGAUUCAUUUCCACUGAGCCAUGACAGGAACUCCAAGAUAUGUUUUAAAAGAAGUAUGGCCUCUGCAUUUAGUUUCUAGGUCAGUCAUACAGGACAGAAUUUAGGUUUUGUAUGACCCACAUGACAUUAGAUUUCAGCAAAGUGUAUCAGUUCACCCUAAGGAAGACACUCAAGGAGCUAUGGCCUGAAUAGCCAGCAGCCAAGGCCUGAAAAAGAAUCCAUUAAUCCAGGAAACCACUACUCCAUGGCAUAAGUGAAUCACUGCCACUCUGCCACAAAUCCAAGAUUUCCAGGUCUUCACAUUUUCUGGAAUGUUCUAAGGAACUGGAAGCUCCAGGAGGGCAGACAGGCAGCACAGGAAGUGCUAUUGGGCAGAGGAGAUGUUUGCUUACCCCUGAUGCUCUCUGCACUCCUAAGUGUCUCCAGCUUUAGAGGAGCUGAAGGACUUCCCUAAGGUCACAUACUAGGAAGUCAGGAGGUAGUCCUGGAUUGGUGGCCCAGAGGGAACCCUACAGAUGAGAGAGGGCCUGGGGGUCAUGGAGCAGGAGUGGGAAGCAGCUGCCCCCUCCAGCUUAUGCACUGCAGCAGGGCUGCUGGUGAUCAGCUGAUAGGCAGAGUUUCAGUUUGGUCAUCUCGAGUCCUAGGUAUCAUUGCCUCCCUUCCAGGAGCUUGGAGGUUUGCAAAAACAGCCCAGCCUGUCACAGCAAUGCCUACAUGGCCUGACCUACUGAGGCAAACAUGCCCCUUUUGCUUUCACCUCAGGUACUUGGAGGACUCUGUGGAGCUGUGGCCAUGUUGCCAUGGUAACAGAAGCAGGCCAUUAGAGCAUUACAGAGAGAUAUGAAGACUUGGGAGUCUGUAAUUCACCUGUGCGGCUGAGGUGCGGACAGGUGGCUUAAUAGGGUCUCAGUCCACACUCUGUAACUGUGUUGUGCAUUAGCAGUAAUGGGACCUGGCCACCUGUGUGCUGGGGGUUGGGGGCAAGUCCAGGAAAAAAAGGCCUUGUUGGGGGGCCUAAGCCUGGCUCCUUGCAUGGGCUGGGGCAGGACGAUGGUGGGGAGACCAGAGGGGUCUGUGCAGACAGCCCAGGCUUCCUCUAAGUCCUCGUUGAAGGGUUCUCUGCGUGGAUGUCUCAACUCCUUUCUGUCCUAUUUGAAACCAGAAAAUGCUCUUCCCAGAUAGGCCGGGGGUAGGGGGGGUUGGAUUCUUAGCAAGAGGAUGCUACAACUCAGGGAAGAGGCACCCUCUUAGGCUAGAGAGGUUGACCCAGGCUGGGUGACUAGGAUGGUUCUUCAGGUGGGUGGAGGGGUGGGCCAGAUGAUAUAGUUGGACUUCUUUUGACUACAUACCCACCUAACCUGGCCUCCUUUGUGUUUCUAGCAUUUUACAUAAGGAUCAGUGCUUUUAUAUUUAUUUAUUUGGCCAUGGAGUGCAACAGCAGCUUGACGUGGAUCUCAGUUCCCAGACUAGGGACUGAACCCCGACCACAGUGGUGAAAGCACCGAGUACUAACCACUAGACCACCAGGGAACUCCUCACAGUGCUGAUAACACAAACUCUGGAGUUGGAAUCCCAGCUAUACCAUUUAUUGGCUGUGACCUUGACCGAGUUAUUUAACUUUUUUGUGUUCAGAGAAACCCUGCAUUUGUAUAAUGGGGACAAUAACAGUAACUACCUUACAGAGGUGCUGUGAGGAUUACAUGAGUUAAUACACAUGGUAUUUAGAAUAAUGCCUGGCAUACAGUCAGCAUUAAAUAUAUGUCAGCUAUCUCGAGUAGCAUCAUUGGUAUUAUUAGCAUCAACCUGGACUUACCUAAUGAGAUGUCAUAAAAUAAAGGGGUUGGAAGAAGUGAUCUUCCACUGUAUCUGAGACAGUUCACCAAGCACACUAUCAUGUGAGUCCUUGGCUACCAGUACCUAUUUUAUUUUAUUUUAUUUUAUUUUUUCCUUUUUAAGCUACAUGCGUGGCAUAUGGAGGUUCCCAGGCCAGGGGUUGAAUAGGAACUGUAGCUGCCGGCCUACCCACAGCCACAGCAAUGCAGGAUCCAGGCUACAUCUGUGACCUACACCACAGCUCAUGUCAAUGCUAGAUCUUUAACCCACUGAGCGAGGCCAGGGAUUGAACCCGAAUCCUCCUGGAUACUAGUCGGGUUUGUAACCUGCCGAGUCACAACAGGAACUCCGAUUUAAACCUGCACCCUAUUGCCCACCUUAUUGGCUUCGAUAGCCCCACAGCUGCAGUACACAGAGGGCUUACAGAGAGAGACAGGGCUGCCACGUACGGAUGAGUUGGUUGUGGCCUGCACAAAAGUGGCCAUCUGACAGGGGAGUAGGAACUGAAGUUCAGUCCAUGUUCCACUCUUUAAGCCACACUCCCUAGGUGGGGCUAAGUAUGCCUGGAGGGAGGGGCACCUUUUCUUAAUUUUCACCAAGGCACCCUAUGGGUUAUUAGCAGCCUUAUGACCUUUAGGAAGAUCACAGGAAAUGCUAACCUGGACCAGAAAGAAAAAGAAAAAGACAUUUCAUUCAUAUGCAGGUACUAGAUUAAAAACUUCUGCAAAAGAAAUCUCUAAGUCUAUGUUUACAGUCUUGAAAUAAACAAUUUCUUGCCCUUCCUCCAUCUGACUUUUGUCGUUCUCUUUCUGCUACCUUUUGUGGCAUUUGCUUCGAUUAAUUUUGCUGAGGAGAUCAGAUCACUUUACCUCGAUGAGAAAUGACAUGCAGUCUCUACAUAUUUACCCAUAUUGGUAUGUGUACAGAAAUUCACCCACAAAUGUCGAAACUGAAAAAUCAGGAAAUGCCUUUAUCUCCUUCCUCUCCAGUUUGCGUUCGCUAUUUUGAUAGUCCAGCCGCUGCACCUCUCAGAGGCGUCUGGUGAAAACCACCCCUCCCUGAAUGAGGUCUGCAGCAAGAGGAGAGGUGGUCAGAUCCCACCGCCAACCCCUGCUCAGAGGCACACGUGUGGGGAGGCUGUCCUGAGUCAGUGAAAAAGCCAAAGUCUUUGUUUCCUUGAGUUGAUGGGAGUUGACCAUGGCCACCACUUACACAGAAGUGAGCCAUUCACUUUGAUAUAUGUUUAUAUAUCCCAGGGGGUUUUGGGCAGGGGGCAGGGUGUGACUGGUAUUGUUCUAAGCCCUGCGAGGAGAUGGCACAUGGCAGAAGGAACAGGUAAAAUUGUCAAAAGUUAAGGGUCCUGGAUUCCAGUCUGAAUGGGUAAUAUUAAAAGUUGUGAAACUUCAGUAAACAUCCAGCUGCUCAAACUUUAGCUUCCUCAUCUGAAAAUGGGGAUUAAAAGCUAUAAGCCAUGUGAAAAUUGUGAAACACUACAUACAGUCAACAAGCAGAUUCCACUCGGUUACCAAGAAUGUAUUAUGCGCUGGGUAUCAAGCUAAGCAAUACACAGAGGGAAAUUGUUCCUGCUCCUGACUCGCUUCUGAUCUGCAAAAUGAGGGGCUGUAUUACAUUAUCUCUAUAGCCCCUUUCAGCUUUAGGGCUCUUUUUAAUUCUAGUCCUAUAUCCGACGGAAUAAUUGUAGAACCUUAGAGGUAGGAGGGAUGGAGGGGAAGAAAGAAGAAAUACGCAGGCAACACACAUAAGAACAGUUUAAAAGAAGCCAGGAGGAAAUGCAUACUGCCUCACGAGGGAGGAAACACCCCAGCCCUUCCCGCUGGCCCUGGCACCCCUCUGUACAGAGCAAGGAGACGAAACGACCUCUGGGAGCCUCAGCAGGCAGAAGAGGGAGAAGGUCCACCAGACUUUGCUUGAGUGGUUUGGAAGUUUAUGGAUGUGCUUUCAAAGGAUAACGUAAGUAUUUGCUCUCCAGACUCUUGCCAAAAACAUACAUCCUCAAACUACCUGCUGUCCGACACGUACCAAAGGGCCAGAGGCAAAAAACGGUGUUUGUAUAAUUUGGGGGUAGGUCAUGCAAUCUGCUCCUUCCUCUCUAUUGCCGGCCCUCAAACUGCAUCAGGGCUUGUUAACACCUACCUAGAUUUCCUGACUCCAGCCCCAAGGUUUCUGAUUCAGUUUCUGAUGCUGGAUGGAGCUCAAAAACGUGCAUGUAUAGUAAGUUCCCAGGUGAUACUGAUGCUGUAGGUUUCAGGCUACACUUUGCAAAAUACCAGUCUAAAUAAAAUUAAGUUUAUCAACAGGUCAAGGCUAAAGAAGAGCAAUGCAUACUUGCAGCGUGUAAUUUUGAUUCUUGACCUAUAGGAUAUCUGAUACUGAAUUCCCUGCUGACCCUAAGUCAUUCCUUUUCAUUAAAGAAUAAUGUGAAAAACAGCCUGAAGAAAUUACUGGUGUCUUCAUUCUUGUGAAGAUGAUAAGGAUGGCAGGUUGUAUAUCUCCCAAUGUUCUUUUAUGAGGAUCCAAGAGAGAAAUCUCUGUUGUUCUCAGAAGCAGGAAAAAUUAUUUUUUUUACAGAAUGAUUGGGACGCUUUUCCCUUUCAGGUUCCAUGACUUCAUUUGGCCACAAAAAGCUCUGAGAUCAACAUACAGCCUAUUUCUUGUAAAUAGAAUGUAUUUUGGAAUACUAAUUUUCCCUGUCAUGUAUUUUUAUUCAACCUCUUUUUCCUUUUUCUUUUUUCUCUUGUAAGCUUUCUCAAAUCCUUUCUGGGAUGAGAGGAAAAUAAAUAAAUACAUAAAUAAUGAAAUAAAGAAAUGGCGAGAAUUAUGUGUUUGAGCUCUGAGGGGACAAGAAAUAGCACUGUAAUAGAGGUUGGUGUCACUAAAUGUGUGUUGUUUGUCUGUUUUAGUGCGGUAGGUAAGAAAAGUGAUUUACCCAAGAUCCACCAGCUCUGUGCUAGAGACCUGGCACUAAAGGAUAAAUCUUCUCGCUCCAGUGACAGAGACCUUUUUUUUCUGGUCUUUCCUGCUUCCUGUACAUAAAGCAUCAAGAUAACUGGGCCCCUGCUUUGGUGUUUGGUGUCAAGUUAUCCAGCCUGAGAAAUCAAUGAAAUGAGUUUGCUUCAAGCCCAGUCACUCCUACUCCCAAAGGAAAUGGUAAGGGGUCAGCAAGAAUUUAUAAAAACGUAAAACGACGGACGAGUCAUGCAUAAAGAAUUUAUUCAACCUGGUCAAGGGUUGAUAAUUCCUUCCUCUUCUCAGCAGUUACUGCAGCAGUGAUUACAUUGACACCAGAAGGGGCAAGAAGCUUUAGAUUUUUUACCAAAUCCUAAAAAUGCUGCUUCUAAGCAUUCAGACUGAAAUGCCACAGGGAUGAGGAAGAGCGAGUCUAAUGGUUACGUCAUAACCAUUGCUCACGUAGCCCACAUCUCGGGGCUUAAAUCUGCCUGGUAGUUGGUGUGAUCACUCUGGACUUAGCCUCUGUGAAUGGGGAGGUGUGGAAACCCUCUAAUAAAUCCAGCACCUUUUCACCCCAUCCAGGAGCCUCUCCUGGCCUCCUACACCCCCUCGGCCCAGCAUUUACCCCACUAUACUGAAGUUACCUAUGCCUGUGUCUAUAUGGCUAGCCUAUAGACUCCUUCAGGGGAUAGGCAGAGAAGAUUCCAGCAGUGUCAGCAUAGAGGACCAAGGUCCCUUUUAUUUUCAAAUAAACAGAUUAAAGGAGCAUUCCAAAGCUCUACACCUUGCUAUGUGGUUUGGAAGUGAUACACCAGGGCUGAUUAUCUCUUGCUCCCAAGAGGAGAACCUAGGGGAUCCUGAUCAACCUUGACCAUCUGGGUUAGAGAAGCCAAAUUGGAGGGAGGUAGGGAUGGGGGAUUAGGACAGUGCAGCUCUCUUC
ensembl:lncRNA